rnacentral:rRNA from 1 species
AUACGGAGGAUGCAAGCGUUAUCCGGAUUUAUUGGGUUUAAAGGGUGCGUAGGCGGUUUGCUAAGCGGGAGGUGAAAUGCCGGCGCUCAACGUCGGAAGUGCCUCCCGAACUGGUGGACUGGAAUGACUCUGCCGUGGGAGGAAUGUGUAGUGUAGCGGGGAAAUGCUUAGAGAUUACACAGAACACCGAUUGCGAAGGCAUCUCACGAAGGGUUGAUUGACGCUGAGGCACGAAAGCGUGGGGAUCAAACAGGAUUAGAUACCCUGGUAGUCCACGCAGUAAACGAUGAUGGCUAACCGCUGGUUUUUUCGGAUCAGUGGCCAAGCGAAAGCGAUAAGCCAUCCACCUGGGGAGUACGACCGCAAGGUUGAAACUUAAAGGAAUUGACGGGG